rnacentral:rRNA from 1 species
GACAGAGGGUGCAAACGUUGUUCGGAAUUACUGGGCGUAGAGCGUGUGUAGGCGGUCUCAUAAGUCGGAUGUGAAAGCCCCGGGCUCAACCCGGGAAGUGCAUUCGAAACUGCGAGGCUAGAGUAUCGGAGAGGUUGGUGGAAUUCUCGGUGUAGAGGUGAAAUUCGUAGAUAUGUGGAGGAAUACCGAUGGCGAAGGCAGCCCCCUGGGAUAACACUGACGCUCAUGCACGAAAGCGUGGGGAGCAAACAGG